UGGGGAAUUUUGGACAAUGGGCGAAAGCCUGAUCCAGCAAUGCCGCGUGUGUGAAGAAGGCCUUCGGGUUGUAAAGCACUUUUGUCCGGAAAGAAAUCCUUGGCUCUAAUACAGUCGGGGGAUGACGGUACCGGAAGAAUAAGCACCGGCUAACUACGUGCCAGCAGCCGCGGUAAUACGUAGGGUGCAAGCGUUAAUCGGAAUUACUGGGCGUAAAGCGUGCGCAGGCGGUUGCUAAGACCGAUGUGAAAUCCCCGGGCUCAACCUGGGAACUGCAUGGUGACUGGCAGGCUAGAGUAUGGCAGAGGGGGGUAGAAUUCCACGUGUAGCAGUGAAAUGCGUAGAGAUGUGGAGGAAUACCGAUGGCGAAGGCAGCCCCUGGCCAAGUACUGACGCUCAUGCACGAAAGCGUGGGGAGCAAACAGGAUUAGAUACCCUGGUAGUCCACGCCCUAAACGAUGUCAACUAGUUGUUGGGGAUUCAUUCCUUAGUAACGUAGCUAACGCGUGAAGUUGACCGCCUGGGGAGUACGGUCGCAAGAUU
rnacentral:rRNA from 1 species